rnacentral:rRNA from 1 species
UGCAAGUCGACGCUUUUUCUUUCACCGGAGCUUGCUCCACCGAAAGAAAAGGAGUGGCGAACGGGUGAGUAACACGUGGGUAACCUGCCCAUCAGAAGGGGAUAACACUUGGAAACAGGUGCUAAUACCGUAUAACAAUAGAAACCGCAUGGUUUCUAUUUGAAAGGCGCUUUUGCGUCACUGGUGGAUGGACCCGCGGUGCAUUAGCUAGUUGGUGAGGUAACGGCUCACCAAGGCAACGAUGCAUAGCCGACCUGAGAGGGUGAUCGGCCACAUUGGGACUGAGACACGGCCCAAACUCCUACGGGAGGCAGCAGUAGGGAAUCUUCGGCAAUGGACGAAAGUCUGACCGAGCAACGCCGCGUGAGUGAAGAAGGUUUUCGGAUCGUAAAACUCUGUUGUUAGAGAAGAACAAGGAUGAGAGUAGAAUGUUCAUCCCUUGACGGUAUCUAACCAGAAAGCCACGGCUAACUACGUGCCAGCAGCCGCGGUAAUACGUAGGUGGCAAGCGUUGUCCGGAUUUAUUGGGCGUAAAGCGAGCGCAGGCGGUUUCUUAAGUCUGAUGUGAAAGCCCCCGGCUCAACCGGGGAGGGUCAUUGGAAACUGGGAAACUUGAGUGCAGAAGAGGAGAGUGGAAUUCCAUGUGUAGCGGUGAAAUGCGUAGAUAUAUGGAGGAACACCAGUGGCGAAGGCGGCUCUCUGGUGUAACUGACGCUGAGGCUCGAAAGCGUGGGGAGCAAACAGGAUUAGAUACCCUGGAGUCCACGCCGUAAACGAUGAGUGCUAAGUGUUGGAGGGUUUCCGCCCUUCAGUGCUGCAGCUAACGCAUUAAGCCUCCGCCUGGGGAGUACGACCGCAGAAACUCAAGAUGACGGGGCCCGCACAGCGGGAGCGGGUUAUUCACACCGAAUACGCUGACUCUGACUAAAUAGCUUCCCCUUCGGGGCAACGGGGCAU